rnacentral:rRNA from 1 species
ACGCGAGGAACCUUACCAGGUCUUGACAUCCCAUUGACCGCUAUGGAGACAUAGCUUUCCCUUCGGGGACAGUGGUGACAGGUGGUGCAUGGUUGUCGUCAGCUCGUGUCGUGAGAUGUUGGGUUAAGUCCCGCAACGAGCGCAACCCUUGAUCUUAGUUGCCAGCAUUAAGUUGGGCACUCUAAGGUGACUGCCGGUGACAAACCGGAGGAAGGUGGGGAUGACGUCAAAUCAUCAUGCCCCUUAUGACCUGGGCUACACACGUGCUACAAUGGAUGGUACAAAGGGCAGCAAAACCGCGAGGUCGAGCAAAUCCCAUAAAACCAUUCUCAGUUCGGAUUGUAGGCUGCAACUCGCCUACAUGAAGCUGGAAUCGCUAGUAACCGCGGAUCAGCAUGCCGCGGUGAAUACGUUCCCGGGCCUUGUACACACCGCCCGU